rnacentral:rRNA from 1 species
AGAGUUUGAUCCUGGCUCAGGACGAACGCUGGCGGCGUGCUUAACACAUGCAAGUCGAGCGAGGCCCUCCUUCGGGGGGUGCCCUAGCGGCGAACGGGUGAGUAACACGUGGGCAACCUGCCCUCAGCUCUGGGAUAACUCCAAGAAAUUGGUGCUAAUACCGGAUGUGACCGCUGACCGCAUGGUCUGGUGGUGGAAAGAUUCAUCGGCUGAGGAUGGGCCCGCGGCCUAUCAGCUUGUUGGUGGGGUAAUGGCCCACCAAGGCGACGACGGGUAGCCGGCCUGAGAGGGUGACCGGCCACACUGGGACUGAGACACGGCCCAGACUCCUACGGGAGGCAGCAGUGGGGAAUAUUGCGCAAUGGGCGAAAGCCUGACGCAGCGACGCCGCGUGAGGGAUGACGGCCUUCGGGUUGUAAACCUCUUUCAGUAGGGACGAAGCGCAAGUGACGGUACCUACAGAAGAAGCACCGGCCAACUACGUGCCAGCAGCCGCGGUAAUACGUAGGGUGCAAGCGUUGUCCGGAAUUAUUGGGCGUAAAGAGCUCGUAGGCGGUCUGUCGCGUCGGCUGUGAAAACCCGAGGCUCAACCUCGGGCCUGCAGUCGAUACGGGCAAACUAGAGUACUGCAGGGGAGACUGGAAUUCCUGGUGUAGCGGUGAAAUGCGCAGAUAUCAGGAGGAACACCGGUGGCGAAGGCGGGUCUCUGGGCAGUAACUGACGCUGAGGAGCGAAAGCGUGGGGAGCGAACAGGAUUAGAUACCCCAGUAGUCC